rnacentral:rRNA from 1 species
GAUGAACGCUGGCGGCGUGCCUAACACAUGCAAGUCGAACGGAAAGACCCUGAGUUUGUGCGUUUCUCGAUUGCCGAACGCGUGAGUAACACGCGUGUAUCCUGCCCUUGUAUUUCGGAGAACAUCACGAAACUGGGGCUAAUAUAGGAUAGGAUCUCCUGCACCGUGGUGGGCAUUGGAAAGUUUCGGCGUUGGGGGAUGGAAUAGGGGCGUACGAGCUAGUUGGUAGGGUAGUUGAUUACCAAGCCUGUCACGGGUAGCCGGCCUGAGAGGGUGGUCGGCCACACGGGAAGUUGGACACGGUCCAGACGCCUACGGGAGGCAGCAGUAGGGAAUGUGAGGCAGUGGGCGGGAGCCUGACGCAGCGAGGCCGCGUGUGUGACGAAGGCCUUCGGUUCGGAAAGCCCUGUUUUGGGGUAAGAACAGAUGUGGAAUGAGACGAAGCCUUCGUGACGGUACCUAAUCAAGAAGCACCGGCUAACUACGUG